rnacentral:lncRNA from 1 species
AUGGGACACUCCAUAAAACCCAUAACGUUUAUCAAUCUACUUCUGCAGGUACCAGCAAAGGAAUUAGAAAAAACACAAAUAUGAACCUAAACAAGCUAUUUGAUAAACCAUAUAUACCAAAUACAUCAAAAGAUCCCAUGUUUAUACCCCAAUAAAUUACCACAUACCGAGAUAGUUUAAACCAAGAUAAAAAAACCUACAACUACACAG